GUUCGCCAAAUAACUACGAGUAAAAACUUAAAAUUUAAAAGACUUGACGGUACCUUAAAACAACCUAGAGGAGCCUGUCAAAUAACCGAUACUCCACGAUUAACCCAACCACCCCUAGCCCAAACCAGUCUAUAUACCGCCGUCGCCAGCUUACCUUAUGAAAGAAACGAAGUAAGCCAAAUAGUUAUACACUAACACGACAGGUCGAGGUGUAGCAUAUGAGGUGGUUCAAGAUGGGCUACAUUUUCUAACCCAGAAAAUACGGAAAGACCCUGAAAUAAGAACCUGAAGGCGGAUUUAGCAGUAUACUAAGAACAAAACACUUAAUCGAAACCAUGAAAUAAGGUGCGUACACACCGCCCGUCAUCCCUGUAAACCCAACAGAACCCUACAUAAAUAAAAAUUGAUACUGAAACA
rnacentral:rRNA from 1 species